rnacentral:rRNA from 1 species
CCCACACAGCCCCGGGCCCCACCCACGAUGCACACACACCCACACCCAACCCACACACACACACCCACGUUGAAUCCCAUCUCUCUCGUCUUCCUCGAUCCCCUUUCUCCACCCCACGCCGCCGCCAGAUUCCGGCGAUCCCUGCGGUUCCCCACCACCUAGCUCUCCUCCCCGAGGUCACCUCUCCCCGCUCACCAUCUUCACUGACCGGUUUCUCUCCUCGCCCAGGAGAGCCACGCCCAGGCACUGGUGGUGGUGCGCCGCGAGGAGGCCCCAGCGGCGUCGAGCUCCUGUUGCUGCGGGCACAGCGACGUCGGCGUGGUCAGGAUGGUCGCAGCCCUUCAAGAUUCUCAAUGGCUGCGUCCCGGCGCUGAUGGCGGAGUCGACGACGAGCAUCGGCGGGUACAUGGCGUCGGGGUACCGGAGGGUGGCUGGCGUGCAGCUCUACAUCAACCACCUCAAGCCCGCCCGCCUCGGCGACCGCAUCGAGGCCAAGGCGAACCCCAUCCGGUACCUCGACCCCGACGCGUACUUGGACAAGGUAUGUGUGCCGCCACCGACGGUGGCGUGUCCCCGAGUGACUCCGUGAGGUUCUGAUUGGUUCGGUGCUUGGGUUUUGGUGUGCUUGACCAGCUGCUGGACGCGGUGCAUUGGAUCCGGCAGGCGGUGGGGCUCGCCUGCGGCCUGCUCUGGGGCGCCGUCCCCCUCGUCGGCGCCUUCUGGAUCGCCCUGACAGUCCCUCCCUCCCUCCAUCCUCAAAGCCCCAACCUUCUUCUUUCCCUUCAGACAUAGGCAUAGAUUCAGGUUCAUUGUUAACUGAAUUCGUAAGCUCAUCUCACACUGAAUUUGGGACCUCUUUCCCAUCGUGUAGUAUAGUGCUAGCAAGUCAGUCACACAUGAAUUAGUAGAUGAGUCUAGCGAUUCUGUUAACUGAAUUAUUUUAGAAACCCGCUUUGUUUUGCCUUUCAUUGAUCACCGCGACAGGUCAGAGGAGGUGAAGUGAGUGUUAGAUUCGCUGCGAAUUGGAGGUUCGUUAGCCUCGUCUCUGAGCACUCGUCACCAGCUCAGCAACAAGCAUCGCAGUGGUUAUGCGCUUUCUCUGGUAUUAGAUGUGACAUGAGCUGUUUAAUCAGCUCUUUGUUUGGCGUGGCCGUCAGCAAACCAGCAAACCAACGCAAUUGCCGCAUAUAUGUAGUGGGAUAUGAACUGCUCUUAGUUUCUCUGUGCUCAUUAUUAGUUCAAUAAAUUGGCAAAUGGCUGCUGAUGUAUGAUUGACUGGCUUUGUUCAUCUUGCUAGAGUUACUUGGAAAUAUUGACAUUCUCAAACCAAAUAUGAGGUGCCCUUUAUUCAGUCCAUGGGAGUAUAUGUAAGUUGACUGCUUCAAACCCAAUCCGUGCUUGCUGUUUAGUGAAUAAAUAUGCUGGUAGAAAAUUGCAAACUUCGUAAUAUGAAUAAAUAUUUGAUGGUAAGUUGUGAUGAAGAUUAAAAUUGUAUCGCCCACAAAAAAGAAGAUUAACAUUUUAUUACAUACACUAAUCUAUCUAGCACCAAUGUCACGCAGUCAAUUUCCUUUAUCCUUAGCAUUUUUAUGACAUACCUUCUUCUAUUUAGAAUCUUUGGUUGCAAUCAGUUCUUUUUUCUGCAAAAAAUGAAAUCAGUUUCUUUUACUUUUAGCAUAUGUACUUAACAACUGAGGUGCCAGUGAAAAAGUAAAUUUAUUUUUAUUUAGUAUUUGGUGGAUCCUCUGUUUUUAUAGGUUUCGACAUUGCUGCCUCCAUAUAGCUUUUUGCUGAUAUACGUUGAUGGUUUGAUGUGUCGCUCCUAGUCCGAAUGUUAGUUUUUUUUACUGGACCUUCCUUUUUGAUCGGAUAUUGUUUAUAUACGUGACUGAUUCAUAAUCCAGCUGAACUUUCUUUUCAUGUACAUGAUGGAGUUUGCAUCCAUAUAUUAUUGUACGUGUCGAAUGAUAGACUUGUACAUUUAAUUAUGGUGCAUGUCUUCGAAUAUACUCCCAUUAUGCAUGUUUUUUAGACUUAUUUUAAUAUUAUUGCUGUUAUUACGUGCGUAGUGCCGUGGAGAUGAAAUAACAUGCUCGUGUACUAAUUGACUAUACGCUAGCCUGGCUUGCCAUUGGAAGGUGGCGUAUGGACUAUGGAUUCCUUUUUCUUAAGCUGGCCAUGUGAUUCCUUUUGCCUAUAAGCUGGCCGUGCCGUUGGCCGUGUGGACUCUGUAUGCCUUUACGCCGCCAUCAAGUUGAGGUCAACGAAUCACUGCUGUUCAUUUAUCAUAACUUUGUAAUUUUGAAUCUCCUCCUUCCGUUUUCUAUCGUUUUAGUAAUAUUGAAUCUCCUCCGUUCGUUUUCUAUCAUUUUAAUAAUAUAAUAUAUUUGAUUUUGGUAGUACCGUUGAAUUUGGUUGUUGCUAUUCAUUUAUGUAUGUGAAGGAAUUGGAUAAUGUGCUCUUUUUUUGUUUGCAAAAUGAAGGACGCUGCAUCCAGGUAGUGGGAAUAGUUAGUCCUUGCUAUCAAUAGUAGUAGCAUUAUUCACUGUGGAGUGUGAUGGAAUUUGAUGAUCAUCUACUUUUGCCUAUCAUCUACUUCUGAUGUUUUCCCUGAAAGUGACACGUGAUCUUCCUUUGUUUUUCUUUAGCUGAUAGUAUGAUAACUGCUUGCUUGGCAGAAGUUAUGGUGGUGAUGUUUCUUAGAUAAAUAAAGAAACUGAGAUUUAGUUCGAUUUGGAGCGCCUCUUGUUGUACCACAGUUCCUUCUCUUAGAGUUGUAUUUGUACUGCAGGUUUUGGAUUGGGAGGGGAAAGUGCUCUUCUUUCAGUCUCUGUUGAAGUCAAACCCAUCCAUGCAAAAUCUGUACUUAGUAGAAUUAAUCUUGAUGAAUAUAUAUGCCUUGCAGUUUUAUCGUGCAUGCCAUUCAACUAACUUGCUCUUGUCCAUGCAGACGGAGUAGGAGGACGAGCAGCAACAGCAAAUCAGUCUGAUGAUGAUGGGGUGCGGGAGGCAAUGGUGAUCAUGCUGAUGGCAUGAAGAAGGCUGAUGACCACAACCUGGACCUGUUGGCAUUUCGAGUGGCAAACAUAGGCGGCGUGGAGACAACAACCUGGACCACCCACCUCCCUUGUCUUUUUAAUUUUGGUUGUGGUGGUUGCAUCACUGGCUCGGUCGCAAAUCAAUAUGUAGUGUGCUUGUGGUGUUGGGUCUGGAUUGUAGUGUCCAUCCAGUAGGUUAGGUGUUGUUGCUGCUAGAUCCCAUCAUGCUCACCUAAGUUUUGUGUUAUGUGGAAGCCAACCUUUGUGAUCUUAUUUGUCGACACUUGUGUGAUCUCGUCUUACUUUGUGAUACAGGUCAUAUGAUAUAUAUGUUUUUAUGGAUGAUCUUCU